CACUCGGGGCCGCCGCCGACGGCUCCAGGGGUCGAAACGCGAGCGCUCCCCGCGGGUUGGAGGCCCGUCGCCCCUGGCACUGCCCCUGGGGCCCGGCGCGGCCGCGGGGACUCGGACUCGGGACCCGGUCCUCCGACGGCUCCGAGGGGGCGCGGCGGGAGGCAGGGCUGGGUUUGAAUCCCGCUCCUGUGCCUGUGGUCUCGGGUGAACACUUCACUCUGCACUGCAGUCCCCGCCUCUGUGAGAUGGGGCUGAUCGGAUAGAAAUGCUGGACUUGGAAACGUGGGAGAGAAUGAACGCAGGCCCCCUCCACCACAAGUUACGCUGCCGAGUUCCCCACACUUGGGGAAACUGCAGGGGCGGCACGUGCGGAGUGCAGUGGACAAGCCUCUCUCUGGGAAAACCGCUUUUGUGAUCCAUGUAUCUCCCCUGCCGGUUCAUAUGCCACAUAAAUCAAGACUCAGCGUUGUGUGAAGACUUCAAGCCGCCCCAUCAUGUUGCCCGGAGUUCUUUGCUGUCUCAGAUGCUCUCUCAGAGCCCAGCAGGUCUCAGCAGGGAGGCGCCAGUGACAGCGUACGUUAAUGUGUUCUCACCGCAGGCCUGGCAUCUGUGCCAGGGGUUGGGGAAAAAAGUGAUGUUGCUAUUUGGGCAGAACCUGUCUUUCUGACUAAGAAAUCUGGCAGCAGAUAUGCCACCAGGACCAAGUUCUGUGAUGUCGUCCCAGCUUGGCAGGCUCCUUGUGCCUUGGGGUUCCUGGACCAGAAUGUGAGGUGCUGGCCCUGGCCGAGUAGCUCAGUUAGUUGGAGCAUCCUCCAGCUAUGCCAAGGUUUUGGGUUCGAUCACUGGUCAGGGAACAUACAAGAAUCAACCAAUGAAUGCAUAAACAAGUGAGACAACAAGCC